AAUUCAUGUGGCUGCAACGGGAGCUGGAUGAUCUAAAUGGUCUCACUCUUGGGUCUGGCCGUUGAUGUUGGCUGUUGGCUGAGCCAGGGGAUUUCAGCAGGCUAGCGUGGGCUCUUCAUUCAGCAGCAGGGUUCCAAGAGGACAAGCCCAACACACAUGUGCUUUUCAAGCCUGUGAUUAUGAGGGCUGUACUACAGCAAUCUGCCACAAUCAGUAACAACCACAUAAGAAAGCAAUGACAAGUUAUGAUUACCACUGUGAGAGAGGGUUACUAUUCCAAGUGGCACCUGAGCCAGCAGCAUUGGCAUCACCUGAGACUUAUUAGAAAUGCAGCAUCUCAGGUUCCACUGCAGGUCUGUGAAAUCAGAAUCUGCAGUUUAACAAGGUCCCCAGGAGAUGUGUGUGUGUGGUUUACAGAAAGAAGAUUCAAGCUUCAGCAGUCCAGGUCAGUUGGACAAGGUGACCUUUAAGCCCACUUCUAGUUUCAUGAAAACAAAUCUGAAACUUGCCCGAUUUCAGGAAUGGUGGUGAAAACACCAUGUACCCAAAUGGUCUGGUGGCAGGUAUUCAAACAUGAAGAAAAACUGGUCUCUUUGUUCUAUAGGAGAUCCACUGUGAUUAGGUCCGUCCCUCCUUCAUCGUUAAGCCUUUGGGCUUUAAGCAAAGAUGUGAGGUCUGCUUUAAGCAGGAAUGGACUUUGGGAUCUUUAUUGUUACUCUCAUCUUGACCAUGGACCUCCCUGGGCACCCAGAUCGAUUUGCCAUGUGGGGGCCAUACAUGAAUUGAAGACCAAUCCAGAGGUUAUU